GACGAACGCUGGCGGCGUGCUUAACACAUGCAAGUCGAACGGGCCUUGUCCCCUUUUUUUUGGGGGUGGGGUUAGGGGCGAACGGGUGAGUAACACGUGAGUAACCUGCCCCUCACUUCUGGAUAACCGCUUGAAAGGGGGGCUAAUACGGGGUGUUCUGGCCUGCUCGCAUGGGUGGGUUUGGAAAGAUUCGACGGGUUUGGGUGGUUUGGGUGGGGGAUGGGCUCGCGGCCUAUCAGCUGGUUGGUGGGGUGAUGGCCUGCCAAGGCUUUGACGGGUAGCCGGCCUGAGAGGGUGGGCGGUCACACUGGGACUGAGACACGGCCCAGACUCCUACGGGAGGCAGCAGUGGGGAAUAUUGCACAAUGGGCGCAAGCCUGAUGCAGCGACGCCGCGUGAGGGAUGGAGGCCUUCGGGUUGUGAACCUCUUUCGCCAGUGAAGAAGGUCCUGCUCUUUGUGGUGGGGUUGACGGUAGCUGGGUUAAUGAAGCGCCGGCUAACUACGUG
rnacentral:rRNA from 1 species